rnacentral:rRNA from 1 species
AUUGAACGCUGGCGGCAUGCCUUACACAUGCAAGUCGAACGGUAACAGGUUAAGCUGACGAGUGGCGAAUGGGUGAGUAAUGUAUCGGAACGUGCCCAGUCGUGGGGGAUAACUGCUCGAAAGAGCAGCUAAUACCGCAUACGACCUGAGGGUGAAAGCGGGGGAUCGCAAGACCUCGCGCGAUUGGAGCGGCCGAUAUCAGAUUAGGUAGUUGGUGAGGUAAAGGCUCACCAAGCCGACGAUCUGUAGCUGGUCUGAGAGGACGACCAGCCACACUGGGACUGAGACACGGCCCAGACUCCUACGGGAGGCAGCAGUGGGGAAUUUUGGACAAUGGGCGCAAGCCUGAUCCAGCCAUGCCGCGUGCGGGAAGAAGGCCUUCGGGUUGUAAACCGCUUUUGUCAGGGAAGAAAAGGUUCUGGCUAAUACCUGGGACUCAUGACGGUACCUGAAGAAUAAGCACCGGCUAACUACGU